AGAGUUUGAUCCUGGCUCAGAUUGAACGCUGGCGGAAUGCUUUACACAUGCAAGUCGAACGGCAGCACGGGGGCAACCCUGGUGGCGAGUGGCGAACGGGUGAGUAAUACAUCGGAACGUGCCCAGUCGUGGGGGAUAACGUAGCGAAAGCUACGCUAAUACCGCAUACGAACUCUGGUUGAAAGCGGGGGAUCGCAAGACCUCGCGCGAUUGGAGCGGCCGAUGGCAGAUUAGGUAGUUGGUGGGGUAAAGGCUCACCAAGCCGACGAUCUGUAGCUGGUCUGAGAGGACGACCAGCCACACUGGGACUGAGACACGGCCCAGACUCCUACGGGAGGCAGCAGUGGGGAAUUUUGGACAAUGGGCGCAAGCCUGAUCCAGCCAUUCCGCGUGCAGGAUGAAGGCCCUCGGGUUGUAAACUGCUUUUGUACGGAACGAAAAGGCCUGGGUUAAUACCUCGGGCUCAUGACGUAC
rnacentral:rRNA from 1 species